AGAUGAGACGAUGAAGGAAAAAAUAACAAAUUAUAUUUUGCAAAAACAAAAACAUUGGAAAAAAAAACAAAUAUAAAAUGAACCGCUAUUUCGGAGCAGAAAAAAAAGGUUCGACGAGACAGAAUCUACUGUUUGUUUGAAAGACUGAGGAUGAAUUUAAUCCAAUAGUGGACUCAAUUUCAAUGCGAUAAAUAAAUCGAGGUAUGGAGCCGAGUAAGUCGAAUAGGAAAUUAAAUCAGGAUAGAUCGUGGAUUGAUUCUACUUCGAUCAUCAGCUACUAUCAACUUGUCAUAUUUAAAAUUAAAUUAUACAAGUGUAUAAAACAAAUUGUAGGAAAGUAACUGUAUUUGAUUAAAACUGAUUAGAGAUUCAA